UCCAGUUUAUCCUGCUGGCGGCUGCGGCUAUCUGGCUUGCACUAAGACAUGCAAGUUUUUUCGAAAGAAAGGCGAACUGCUCAGUAACACGUAGCUAACUUGCCCUUAGGUCAGCAAUACCCUCGGGAAACUGAGGUUAAUGGCUGAUACGAGACGAUUUCUGGAAGGUGUUGUCUCUGAAAUUCGUGCCUAAGGAUAGGGCUGCGGCUGAUUAGGUUGUUGGCGGGGUAAUGGCCCACCAAGCCAUUGAUCAGUAAGGGCUUUUGGCGAAGGGGCCCUGAGAAGGAAUCUUAGACACUAUUCCUAGCCCUACGGGGUGCAGCAGUCGGGGAUUUUUUGCAAUGCGCGCAAGCGUGACAGAGCGAGCCAGAGUGUCUCUUUUUAAGAGACUUUUGUAUGCUGUAAAAAGGCAUACGAAUAAGGACUGGGCAAGACUGGUGCCAGCCGCCGCGGUAAUCCCAGCGGUCCGAGUCGCAGCCACAAUUAUUGGGUCUAAAACAUCCGUAGCUUGCUUUGCAAGUUUCUUGUGAAAUCUGGCAUCUUAAGUGUCAGACGUGCAAGAAAUACUGCUUAGCUAGAGACCGGAGGAUGCAAGGAGUACAUUCAAGGUAGUGGUAAAAUACGUUAAUCUUGAAUGGACUACCAACAGCGAAGGCACCUUGCAACGACGGAUCUGACUGUGAGGGAUGAAGGCUAGGGGCGCAAAAUGGAUUAGAUACCCAUGUAGUCCUAGCAGUAAACACUGCGCACUAAACAUCAGUACCUCCUCGAGAGGUAUUGGUGCUGCAGCGAAGGCGAAGAGUGCGCUACCUGGGAAGUAUAGUCGCAAGGCCGAAACUUAAAGGAAUUGGCGGGGGAGCACUACAACGGGUGACGCGUGCGGUUCAAUUAGAUUCUACACCGUGAACCUCACCAGGACCGACAGCAGAAUGAAGGUCAGUCUGAAGGGCUUACCUGACACGCUGAGAGGAGUUGCAUGGCCGACGUCAGCCUGUGUCGUGAGAUGACCUGUUAAAUCAGGUAACAGGCGAGACCCGCGUGCAUAGUUGCUACCUGAAGAAGGGGCACUCUAUGCAGACUGCCUGGGCAACCAGGAGGAAGGUGCGGGCUACGUUAGGUGAGUACGGCCCAAAUGCCCUGGGCGACACGCGCGCGGCAAUGCUAUAUUCAGUGGGAUGCAACUCCGAAAGGAGAAGCUAACCUCAUAAUAUAUAGCUCAGUUCAGAUUGAGGCUUGAAACUCAGCCUCAUGACGCUGGAAUCCGUAGUAAUCGUUCUUUAGCAGAGAACGGUGAAUAAGUCCCUGCUCCUUGCACACACCGCCCGUCAAACCAACCGAGUUUUGCAUUGGUGAGGCUUUUCGAAUUCAAAUCUUUGUAAGACAAGGUAGGUUAAGUCGUCACAAGGUC
rnacentral:rRNA from 1 species